CUGACGCCUGCCCGGUGCUGGAAGGUUAAGAGGAGUGGUUAGCUUCUGCGAAGCCACGAAUCGAAGCCCCAGUAAACGGCGGCCGUAACUAUAACGGUCCUAAGGUAGCGAAAUUCCUUGUCGGGUAAGUUCCGACCCGCACGAAAGGCGUAACGAUUUGGGCACUGUCUCAACGAGAGACUCGGUGAAAUCAUAGUACCUGUGAAGAUGCAGGUUACCCGCGACAGGACGGAAAGACCCCGUGGAGCUUUACUGUAGCCUGAUAUUGAAAUUCGGCACAGCUUGUACAGGAUAGGUAGGAGCCUUAGAAACGUGAGCGCUAGCUUACGUGGAGGCGUUGGUGGGAUACUACCCUCGCUGUGUUGGAUUUCUAACCCGCACCACUAAUCGUGGUGGGAGACAGUGUCAGGUGGGCAGUUUGACUGGGGCGGUCGCCUCCCAAAAGGUAACGGAGGCGCUCAAAGGUUCCCUCAGAAUGGUUGGAAAUCAUUCAUAGAGUGUAAAGGUAUAAGGGAGCUUGACUGCGAGACCUACAAGUCGAGCAGGGUCGAAAGACGGACUUAGUGAUCCGGUGGUUCCGCAUGGAAGGGCCAUCGCUCAACGGAUAAAAGCUACCCCGGGGAUAACAGGCUUAUCUCCCCCAAGAGUUCACAUCGACGGGGAGGUUUGGCACCUCGAUGUCGGCUCAUCGCAUCCUGGGGCUGUAGUCGGUCCCAAGGGUUGGGCUGUUCGCCCAUUAAAGCGGUACGCGAGCUGGGUUCAGAACGUCGUGAGACAGUUCGGUCCCUAUCCGUCGUGGGCGUAGGAAAUUUGAGAGGAGCUGUCCUUAGUACGAGAGGACCGGGAUGGACAUACCUCUGGUGUACCAGUUGUCGUGCCAACGGCAUCGCUGGGUGGCUAUGUAUGGACGGGAUAAGUGCUGAAAGCAUCUAAGCAUGAAGCCCCCCUCAAGAUGAGAUUUCCCAACUUCGGUUAUAAGAUCCCUCAAAGAUGAUGAGGUGAAUAGGUUCGAGGUGGAAGCGUGGCGACACGUGGAGCUGACGAAUACUAAUCGAUCGAAGACUUAAUCAAUUU
rnacentral:rRNA from 1 species